rnacentral:rRNA from 1 species
CCUACGGGAGGCAGCAGUGAGGAAUAUUGGUCAAUGGACGAGAGUCUGAACCAGCCAAGUAGCGUGAAGGAUGACUGCCCUAUGGGUUGUAAACUUCUUUUAUAUGGGAAUAAAACGUUCCACGUGUGGGAUUUUGUAUGUACCAUAUGAAUAAGGAUCGGCUAACUCCGUGCCAGCAGCCGCGGUAAUACGGAGGAUCCGAGCGUUAUCCGGAUUUAUUGGGUUUAAAGGGAGCGUAGGUGGAUUGGUAAGUCAGUUGUGAAAGUUUGCGGCUCAACCGUAAAAUUGCAGUUGAAACUGGCAGUCUUGAGUACAGUAGAGGUGGGCGGAAUUCGUGGUGUAGCGGUGAAAUGCUUAGAUAUCACGAAGAACUCCGAUUGCGAAGGCAGUUCACUGGACUGCAACUGACACUGAGGCUCGAAAGUGUGGGUAUCAAACAGGAUUAGAUACCCGAGUAGUC